AAGUCGUAACAAGGUUUCCGUAGGUGAACCUGCGGAAGGAUCAUUGCCGAUUUGAAAAGGGUUCUCGAGACUCUCUCUUCCGGAGAGCGCUCGCCCUUCUUUCACGAUUCAAACACCCCGUGCACUCUCGAGGGAACCUCACCGGUUCUCUCGCUUUUGAAAACGCCCUUUCUGUAUGACGCGUGUCGGAUUAUUGAUAUGAAAUACAACUUUCAACAACGGAUCUCUUGGCUUUC
rnacentral:misc_RNA from 1 species